ACGAACGCUGGCGGCGUGCUUAACACAUGCAAGUCGAACGGAAAGACCCUGCUUUUGUGGGGUGCUCGAGUGGCGAACGGGUGAGUAACACGUGGGUAACCUGCCCUUGACUUUGGGAUAACUUCAGGAAACUGGGGCUAAUACCGGAUAGGAGCUCCUGCUGCAUGGUGGGGGUUGGAAAGUUUCGGCGGUUGGGGAUGGACUCGCGGCUUAUCAGCUUGUUGGUGGGGUAGUGGCUUACCAAGGCUUUGACGGGUAGCCGGCCUGAGAGGGUGACCGGCCACAUUGGGACUGAGAUACGGCCCAGACUCCUACGGGAGGCAGCAGUGGGGAAUAUUGCACAAUGGGCGGAAGCCUGAUGCAGCAACGCCGCGUGCGGGAUGACGGCCUUCGGGUUGUAAACCGCUUUCGCCUGUGACGAAGCGUGAGUGACGGUAAUGGGUAAAGAAGCACCGGCUAACUACGUG
rnacentral:rRNA from 1 species